UACGAAGGGGGCUAGCGUUGUUCGGAAUCACUGGGCGUAAAGCGCACGUAGGCGGAUUUUUAAGUCAGGGGUGAAAUCCCGGGGCUCAACCUCGGAACUGCCUUUGAUACUGGAGAUCUUGAGUCCGGAAGAGGUAAGUGGAACUGCGAGUGUAGAGGUGAAAUUCGUAGAUAUUCGCAAGAACACCAGUGGCGAAGGCGGCUUACUGGUCCGGAACUGACGCUGAGGUGCGAAGGCUAGGGGAGCAAACGGG
rnacentral:rRNA from 1 species